rnacentral:lncRNA from 1 species
UGGUUCUGGGUCAGAAUGGCUGAAGGGUGACUUACAACACUCAGAAUAUCUGUGCCUUGAAGAGGUCAACAGUGAAUCUGACCUGCUCUUACACGUAUCCCAGAGGUCAUACAGUCACAGAGACAUCAUGGUUCUAUAGAUGGUCUGUUGUGAAACCUCAGAAUGAUGAUCGUGUGGAGUACUAUGGGGACAGAGUGAAUGACUGCACCCUGAGAAUCACAGACCUGAGAGAGAGCGACUCAGCUGAGUACUGGUUCACAUUCGAGACUCAGAUCCUACAAGGUCAUGUCUUUCAAAGUGUGAGAAGUGAGAGCUAUUCUGGCAGUCCUGGAGCCAGGCUGUCCGUCACAGGCCUGAAGGCAAAAUGUCAAACUAUAGUGACAGAGGGACAGGCUGUGACACUGACCUGCAGCACCACCUGUACUCUGACUGACAACCCCAACCCCACCUACAUCUGGAACAAGAACAGACAACGUCUCACAAACCCAAAUACCAAAAUAACUAGCUGUACCUAGACCCAGUCAGCAGUGAGGAUACAGGCAGAUACUCCUGCGCUGUAAACGGCCAUGAAAAUCCCCCCUCUGCUGAACAGACUCUCGCUGUCAGAUAUGGCCCAAAGAGUAUCAGUCAGUCCUUCUGGUAAAAUAGUGGAGGGCAGUUCAGUGACUCUGACCUGCAGCAGUGAUGCCAACCCACCUGUGGACAAAUACACCUGGUACAAGAAGAAUGUAACCUCACCAAAAGCAUCAGGGCAGAGUUACAGCAUCACUAACAUCAGCUCUGAGGACAGUGGAGAAUACUACUGUGGGGAUGAGAAUACGAUUGGAGCCCAGAUAUCUACACCUCAAUUGAUCAUUGUAGCCAGUAAGAUGUGUUUUUAUUUAAAAUUUCAAGUUACACUAUCAGAUAACAUUCAUAUCAUUCUUUAUGCUUUAGGGAAACAAGCUUCUGUGAAGAAUGCAUCUGUAGGAAUCAUAGUGGUUGUUCUGGUUCUCAUCCUCUGUCUCUCUGUCCUCAUGUGGUUCAGGAAGAAGGCCUCCAAAUCCAUCUCCGACACAAGAGACAGAAGAGACACAGUAGAGAAUGGACAGCAAGACUCUAGUCCUGUGUAUGACAACGUCUCAGGCAUGGCCAUGACCCAUACUGCAGCACCGACAGUGGACACAGACAACCAGGAUAGCGUUCACUACGCCAGCAUCCAACACAGAAACCAGGAAGUGCCUGAAUACUCCACUGCCCAACCGUCUCAACCCCAAAAACAGGAGGAGGAUGUCCAGUACGCUGCUGUGAAAUAUAACCACAACAGUGCUGUUGACAUGCCAGUAGAGACCACUGUGGUACAGUACACUGGAAACACCAGGUUUUAGUGUAGCUGGUGAGACAUACAAAAGUAAAGAGAAAUAAGCCAAUUGUUAUGGACGAAUUAUAGGGAUAUUUUCCAACUAUUCUUCUUGUAUAAUAUGUUUGCUCCAAAAAUGCAUUUCUUGUAAAGACCUUCACUGACGUUUUGGUUGUUAGGAAGAGGCCUCAUGAAGACAGGACGUCAGCUCUGCAUCCCAAUUUUAGUCCCUCAGUACUUCUAGUUGGUGUCAACCUCAGACAUCACAUUAUUCUGUUUCACACUGUCAGUAGGUCCCCUGCCAAACCUCUCUCUCUUCACCUUGUAUCACUUGAUAAUAUAUUAUACUGAACCAUACCAUGUUCUAGUUUAUUAGAUAUUUUUGCAAUAUGAACGCUUGCUUCUGAACAUCAUUUAAAAAAUGUCCAUUUGGUGUGUGGUUUCAUACAUUUUGUUUUGUUCAGCAUUGCUGAUUCCAUAUAAAUGUUUUAAUAAAGACUGUUUAAAAAAGUAUAGUUGAGUACGUAGAGAAGACCAGGAUAUGUUGUUGGCCUGGGUCCCAAUACUCAAUGUUAUAGUCAUGGUCCUGAGAACAGAGACCAGGAUAUGUUGUUGGCCUGGGUCCCAAUACUCAAUGUUAUAGUCAUGGUCCUGAGAACAGAGACCAGGAUAUGUUGUUGGCCUGGGUCCCAAUAUUCAAUGUUAUAGUCAUGGUCCUGAGAACAGAGACCAGGAUAUGUUGUUGGCCUGGGUCCCAAUACUCAAUGUUAUAGUCAUGGUCCUGAGAAUAAAAC